rnacentral:tRNA from 1 species
GGGGAUUUAGCUCAGUGGUAGAGCGCUUGCCUAGGAAGCCGAAGCGCAAGGCCCUGGGUUCGGUCCCCAGCUCCG